UAAUAAUAGUGUUUUAGUAUGGGCACACUUUUAAAUCCAUAUCCACCUUGUGUGCUAAUGUCAGUCGAUCUUCUUCAUGGAGAUCGACCAAACAUCAACCUUUAUUUUUUAACUCUUUGUCUGAAAAAUAUUAUGAAUAAACACAUUCAAAAUA
rnacentral:misc_RNA from 1 species